rnacentral:rRNA from 1 species
GGGGAAUAUUGGACAAUGGGGGCAACCCUGAUCCAGCCAUGCCGCGUGUGUGAAGAAGGCCUUCGGGUUGUAAAGCACUUUCAGAGGGGAGGAAGGCUUGAUGGUUAAUACCCAUCAAGAUUGACGUUACCCUCAGAAGAAGCACCGGCUAACUCCGUGCCAGCAGCCGCGGUAAUACGGAGGGUGCAAGCGUUAAUCGGAAUUACUGGGCGUAAAGCGUGCGUAGGCGGUUUGUUAAGCGAGAUGUGAAAGCCCCGGGCUUAACCUGGGAAUUGCAUUUCGAACUGGCAGGCUAGAGUGUAGAAGAGGGGUGUGGAAUUUCCGGUGUAGCGGUGAAAUGCGUAGAGAUCGGAAGGAACACCAGUGGCGAAGGCGACACCCUGGUCUAACACUGACGCUGAGGUGCGAAAGCGUGGGGAGCAAAC